rnacentral:misc_RNA from 1 species
GAUGAAGAACGCAGCGAAAUGCGAUAAGUAGUGUGAAUUGCAGAAUUCCGUGAAUCAUCGAAUCUUUGAACGCACAUUGCGCCUCCUGGUAGUCCGGGAGGCAUGCCUGUUCGAGCGUCACCAAAUCCAAUUCAAGCGGUUUUGCGCUUGGUCGUGGCGGAAGAGUCGGUCUGGUUGCCGUCUCCCCUCCGAAAAUCAACGGCGGAAAGUCACUGGCAGUCAGCGUAGUAGUAUCGUUCGCCGAACAUCCAGUGGCAUUCCUGCCGACGUACCCCCACAAUUCUCGUGAUUGACCUCGGAUCAGGUAGGGAUACCCGCUGAACUUAAGCAUAUCAAUAAGCGGAGGA